rnacentral:rRNA from 1 species
UGAGUAAAGCGGCGCACGGGUGAGUAACGCGUGGAUGAUCUGCCCAUGAGUUGGGAAUAACGGCUGGAAACGGUCGCUAAUACCGAAUACGCUCCGAUUUCACAGUUCGGGGGAAAGGUGGCCUCUGCUUGCAAGCUACCGCUCAUGGAUGAGUCCGCGUCCCAUUAGCUAGUUGGCGGGGUAAUGGCCCACCUAGGCGACGAUCCCUAGCUGGUCUGAGAGGAUGACCAGCCACACUGGAACUGAGACACGGUCCAGACUCCUACGGGAGGCAGCAGUGGGGAAUAUUGCACAAUGGGCGCAAGCCUGAUGCAGCCAUGCCGCGUGUAUGAAGAAGGCCUUCGGGUUGUAAAGUACUUUCAGCGGGGAGGAAGGGAGUAAAGUUAAUACCUUUACUCAUUGACGUUACCCGCAGAAGAAGCACCGGCUAACUCCGUGCCAGCAGCCGCGGUAAUACGGAGGGUGCAAGCGUUAAUCGGAAUUAUUGGGCGUAAAGAGUGAGCAGGCGGCAGUUUAAGUCUGAAGUGAAAGCGUGAAGCUCAACUUCAUACAGCUUCAGAAACUGAACAGCUAGAGUACGGGAGAAGUAAGUGGAACUCCAUGUGUAGCGGUGAAAUGCGUAGAUAUAUGGAAGAACACCAGUGGCGAAGGCGACUUACUAGCCCGAGACUGACGCUCAGUCACGAAAGCGUGGGUAGCAAAUAGGAUUAGAUACCCUAGUAGUCCACGCUGUAAACGAUGAAAACUAAGUAUUGCCGCGAGGCAGUGCUGUAGCUAACGCAUUAAGUUUUCCGCCUGGGGAGUACGCUCGCAAGAGUGAAACUUAAAGGAAUUGACGGGGGCCCGCACAAGCAGUGGAGCAUGUGGUUUAAUUCGAUGCAACGCGAAGAACCUUACCUACUCUUGACAUCCAGAGAACUUAGCAGAGAUGCUUUGGUGCCUUCGGGAACUCUGAGACAGGUGCUGCAUGGCUGUCGUCAGCUCGUGUUGUGAAAUGUUG